rnacentral:lncRNA from 1 species
CCUUAGCACACUUAUUCCCCCAAUCCCCUUCACUCUACCUCUUGUAUCUAUUCUCUAGCACACUCAAAUGUGCAGGCAACACUCCUCCUCUUAGCCUCAAACUUCAUCCAGCAGAUCACUUUCAUUAUCUUCCAUUCCACACAUAGAAUCCACCGAAGGGUAAGCUGCAUUCACUGUUCUGCCAAAACUCAAGGGGUAAGCUUCGCUUUAACUCUUUUCCUUUCAGUCAUUAGUUUCACCUGCAUUAACACAAAGAGCAACAACCUUGAAUAUUUCAGAUUCUCCCAACCCAUUUAUUCAACAACAACAGCCAACCAACAAGCUAGAUACUCAAGGUAUUUAUGCGACCUCAGUUGUUCAAUCCAGUUUGCAUUCAUACCAUCAAACAUGAUCAGAUUCAAAUGAUAGAGGACCUAUAUAAGCAUAAUGGACUUAGCAGCGAAGUUACACUUCAUAAUGCAGAACACCAGUUACAUUUUUUUUUAUGUAAGAAUUAGUGUGUAGAACUCGAGCAACUCAACAUACUAAGCACAACAAGGAAAAUCAAGCUUUACAAUAGAGUAGAUGGGGACUUAGCUUAUAGAAAUGAGGGGCGCUGCUCUGCUUAGCCAGGCCGAGAAACGACGUCUGGGCGGCGACUCGCGGGGGCAGCGGCGUCGACGGCGUCGAGCGGUGAAGGGCAGGCGACUCCCGACCUCGGUAAUGGCCCUCGCCGAUUCUGGAAUAGUAGCAUUCGGCGGCGUACCCUUCGCCCGAAUCCAGCAGCAGCAGCGUGGCGUGGCUCGAACCGUCGACCCUGGAGAAAACAGCAACGGCGGGCUUUCCCCUACUAGCCAAAAACCGCGGAGCAGCAACGGCGGAGACGAUAUCAGACUGAGGAAAUUAUGCUUCCUCCCUUCAUUCUUUGCACUCGAUUUUGAAAGGAAGGUAGUGAGAUGAAGAGGGGGCAGCCGAGGAUCGGCGCCCUCGGCGGCCUGACGACCAGCGGACGCCGCUACGGGUGCAGCGGCGCGGCGAAUCUCGUCGGCCUUCCAGUUGCGGCGGCGGCGGCGGCGGCACCUCAAGGAGGGAAAAAUUAGGGCUCGCUCAAGCUUCGAUGGAAAUUGAGAGCGAAGAAGGCAGAGAUGGACGUAAGGGAGGAGGUUCGACCGCCGUUCACC